rnacentral:SRP_RNA from 1 species
GCUGGGCAUGGUGGCACAUGCCUGUAGUCCCAGCUACUCAGGAGGCUGAGGCAGGAGAAUCGCUUGAGCCUGGGAGGCGGAGGUUGCAGUGAGCCGAGAUCGUGCCGCUGCAAUCCAGCCUGGGUGAUAGAGUGAGACCCUGUCUCAA